GAUGAACGCUGGCGGCGUGCCUAAUACAUGCAAGUCGAGCGAAUGGAUUAAGAGCUUGCUCUUAUGAAGUUAGCGGCGGACGGGUGAGUAACACGUGGGUAACCUGCCCAUAAGACUGGGAUAACUCCGCGAAACCGGGGCUAAUACCGGAUAACAUUUUGAACCGCAUGGUUCGAAAUUGAAAGGCGGCUUCGGCUGUCACUGAUGGAUGGACCCGCGUCGCAUUAGCUAGUUGGUGAGGUAACGGCUCACCAAGGCAACGAUGCGUAGCCGACCUGAGAGGGUGAUCGGCCACACUGGGACUGAGACACGGCCCAGACUCCUACGGGAGGCAGCAGUAGGGAAUCUUCCGCAAUGGACGAAAGUCUGACGGAGCAACGCCGCGUGAGUGAUGAAGGCUUUCGGGUCGUAGAACUCUGUUGUUAGGGAAGAACAAGUGCUAGUUGAAUAAGCUGGCACCUUGACGGUACCUAACCAGAAAGCCACGGCUAACUACGUGCCAGCCGCCGCGGUAA
rnacentral:rRNA from 1 species